UACGUAGGGUGCAAGCGUUGUUCGGAUUCAUUGGGCGUAAAGGGUGCGUAGGUGGCGCCGUAAGUCGGGUGUGAAAUUUCGGAGCUUAACUCCGAAACUGCAUUCGAUACUGCGGUGCUUUGAGGACUGGAGAGGAGACUGGAAUUCGAUGGUGUAGCAGUGAAAUGCGUAGAGAUCAUGAGGAAGACCAGUGGCGAAGGCGGGUCUCUGGACAGUUCCUGACACUGAGGCACGAAGGCCAGGGGAGCAAACGGGAUAGAAACC
rnacentral:rRNA from 1 species